ACCUGAGGUUAUGUCUAAUAAAAGGACGAGGCCAUAAGGCUCUUUCACAAGACGUCUCAAGCUGGCUGGCUGCCUCCAUGUGAUUUCUGAAUGGACAGGCGGUGGAGCGUUAAAGCCAACGUGCCCCUGAUGCAUCUUUGUGCCGUGAAGUGAUGUAGUAACAGAGCCCAAAUGGUCGACAUGUGAACAGGUAAAAAAAUUACUUACCCAAAGUGUUCCUCUGGAGGAAACUAAUAGGCUGCAGAUCCCCCCUUCUCUUCUAAGAGUUCAUUCUCCAGCGCAGACUGGGUGGGUUGGACACUGUUUUGAGAGCCAUGCGUCAGGGGUGAGGGGUCUUUGCUGCAGGAGACACAACCAUCACCGGGUGAAGAGGCAGUCGAGGCCGGUCAGUGAGGAGAUGAAGCUCAAACAG